rnacentral:rRNA from 1 species
GAUGAACGCUGCGGUGUGCCUAAUACAUGCAAGUCGUACGCAUUCUCGUUUCUGAUUGACGGUGCUUGCACCUAAUUGACGAGACAUUGGAAUGAGUGGCGGACGGGUGAGUAACACGUGGGUAACCUGCCCAGAAGCGGGGGAUAACAUUUGGAAACAGAUGCUAAUACCGCAUAAAAGUCAAAACCACAUGGUUUUGAUUUAAAAGAUGGCCUUUGUGCUAUCACUUCUGGAUGGACCCGCGGCGUAUUAGCUAGUUGGUAAGGUAAUGGCUUACCAAGGCAAUGAUACGUAGCCAAACUGAGAGGUUGAUCGGCCACAAUGGGACUGAGACACGGCCCAUACUCCUACGGGAGGCAGCAGUAGGGAAUCUUCCACAAUGGGCGCAAGCCUGAUGGAGCAACACCGCGUGAGUGAAGAAGGGUUUCGGCUCGUAAAACUCUGUUGUUAAAGAAGAACGUAUCUAAGAGUAACUGCUUAGGUAGUGACGGUAUUUAACCAGAAAGCCACGGCUAACUACGUGCCAGCCGCCGCCGUAA